rnacentral:rRNA from 1 species
UGGGGAAUAUUGCAGCAAUGGGCGCAAGCCUGAUGCAGCCAUGCCGCGUGUGUGAAGAAGGCCUCGGGUUGUAAAGCACUUUCAGCGAGGAGGAACGGUGGUGAGCUUAAUACGCUCAUCAAUUGACGUUACUCGCAGAAGAAGCACCGGCUAACUCCGUGCCAGCAGCCGCGGUAAUACGGAGGGUGCAAGCGUUAAUCGGAAUUACUGGGCGUAAAGCGCACGCAGGCGGUUUGUUAAGUCAGAUNUGAAAUCCCCGGGCUCAACCUGGGAACUGCAUUUGAAACUGGCAAGCUAGAGUCUCGUAGAGGGGGGUAGAAUUCCAGGUGUAGCGGUGAAAUGCGUAGAGAUCUGGAGGAAUACC